rnacentral:rRNA from 1 species
CGUUACGGAUUAUUGGGCGUAAGCGCGCGUAGGCGGUUUCUUAGUCUGAUGUGUAAUAGCCCACGGCUCAACCGUGGAGGGUCAUUGGAAACUGGGGAACUUGAGUGCAGAAGAGGAGAGUGGAAUUCCAUGUGUAGCGGUGAAAUGCGCAGAGAUAUGGAGGAACACCAGUGGCGAAGGCGGCUCUCUGGUCUGUAACUGACGCUGAUGUGCGAAAGCGUGGGGAUCAAACAGGAUUAGAUACCCUGGUAGUCCACGCCGUAAACGAUGAGUGCUAAGUGUU